UAGAUCAGAACCAUGAAUCACCAAGAAGAAAGUACAGUAGACGACAGAUGUUAGCCAAUAUGUGCACCGGAGGAGCUGGAAGGACGAUGUCACUUCUGAAACAAACGACAUGACAACACAGCAAAUGUGAGAGAUGUAACAUCAGGAAAGUCACUACAAAUUCCACGUCUAAACAACGAGACCCUCACACAGACCCCAGGGAAGCAGAGAAACAAGAACACACUAACUCCCAAAGCGGCAGGAAGGAAGACAGAGCAGAGCAGAAACUGAGACAAAAUGUUUAUGCAGGAGAAUACUGCUACCAAGAGCGAUAGACAGACUGCUCACAAUUCACACCAAAUCAACAACUUUCUCAGUAGAAAUGGAAAUCAUCACUCUAAGCCUCGAUCCCAGUUCUCUCUGUGAGCUCCUUUAACUCCGACUGUGCUGGACGCAGAACACUUGGACUGAAGCAAACACUCUGAUGGGGACUAGAACAUUCUGUCUGUCUCUUGAGACUGCUGGGGAACAGGCUCACUACCUGUGGGGAGGAACAGAAAGAGCUGCCCUAUAACACAGGUCAGGGGCUCAGCCUUGACUGAGCCCCUAGCAACGGUCCUCCAAGAGGCUUAUGGGAGGGAGUGAUACUUCAGCUCUUGACUGAUAUUUUACAUUUUACAAACACAAUGGCAGCUCUUAACCUUGUACUUGACACAUCCAGGCAGGUAUGGGGACGUGCAAGUGAAGGGAGUUUCUUCCUAUAGAAUUCAGACUGUCUGGAAAUAGCCAGCCCCCACCCACAACAUUAGCCUUCUCCCAGACAACCUGCUGCUGCUACCUGCUCUCCACCCCAUGAGCUUCACUGUCAUCAAAUCAAGCUGGCUUCAAUGGCACUUGCUACUUUGUGAUUCCGUUAAAAGCUCAAAUAUUUUAGCAUCUCUCAAAGUUAGCUGUAAAGAUGACAAUGAUAAUUAAAAAUUGAACUUUUAAA